rnacentral:rRNA from 1 species
CCUACGGGAGGCAGCAGUGAGGAAUCUUCCACAAUGGGCGAAAGCCUGAUGGAGCAACGCCGCGUGCAGGAUGAAGGCCCUAGGGUUGUAAACUGCUUUUAUAAGUGAAGAAUAUGACGGUAACUUAUGAAUAAGCACCGGCUAACUACGUGCCAGCAGCCGCGGUAAU